rnacentral:rRNA from 1 species
GACGAACGCUGGCGGCGUGCUUAACACAUGCAAGUCGAACGGUAAGGCCCUUCGGGGUACACGAGUGGCGAACGGGUGAGUAACACGUGGGUGGUCUGCCCUGCACUUCGGGAUAAGCCUGGGAAACUGGGUCUAAUACCGGAUAGGACCACUGCCUGCAUGGGGGGUGGGGGAAAGCUUUUGCGGUGUGGGAUGGGCCCGCGGCCUAUCAGCUUGUUGGUGGGGUGAUGGCCUACCAAGGCGACGACGGGUAGCCGGCCUGAGAGGGUGACCGGCCACACUGGGACUGAGAUACGGCCCAGACUCCUACGGGAGGCAGCAGUGGGGAAUAUUGCACAAUGGGCGCAAGCCUGAUGCAGCGACGCCGCGUGAGGGAUGACGGCCUUCGGGUUGUAAACCUCUUUCAGCACCGACGAAGCGCAAGUGACGGUAGGUGCAGAAGAAGGACCGGCCAACUACGUGCCAGCAGCCGCGGUAA